GACGAACGCUGGCGGCGUGCUUAACACAUGCAAGUCGAACGGAAAGGCCCUGCUUUUGUGGGGUGCUCGAGUGGCGAACGGGUGAGUAACACGGGAGUAACCUGCCCUUGACUUUGGGAUAACUUCAGGAAACUGGUGCUAAUACCGGAUAGGAGCUCCUGCUGCAUGGUGGGGGUUGGAAAUUUUCGGCGGUUGUGGAUGUACUCGCGGCUUAUGAGCUUGUUGGUGGGGUAGUGGCUUACCCAGGCUUUGAUGGGUAGCCGGCCUGAGAGGGGGACCGGCCACAUUGGGACUAAGAGACGGCGCAGACGCCAACGGUAGGCAGCAGUGGGGAAUAUGACACAAUGGUCGGAAGCCUGAGGCAGCAGCGCCGCGUGCGUGAUGACGGCCUUCGGGUUGGAAACCGCUGUCGCCUGUUACGAAGCGUGAGUGACGGUAAUGGGUAAAGAAGCACCGGCUAACUACGUG
rnacentral:rRNA from 1 species